UCGGGGGUCCUAUCAUGCAGUCGAGCGGACAGAUGGGAGCUUGCUCCCUGAUGUUAGCGGCGGACGGGUGAGUAACACGUGGGUAACCUGCCUGUAAGACUGGGAUAACUCCGGGAAACCGGGGCUAAUACCGGAUGGUUGUUUGAACCGCAUGGUUCAAACAUAAAAGGUGGCUUCGGCUACCACUUACAGAUGGACCCGCGGCGCAUUAGCUAGUUGGUGAGGUAACGGCUCACCAAGGCAACGAUGCGUAGCCGACCUGAGAGGGUAACCUCGGCGACCCUCAGUAUUCUUCUGUCCCCUGAUUCGCGACCGCGAGUGCAGUCUAGUAUGGACUCUGCGAAAUGUGUCGCAAGUAUGAUCGAAGCAAUCGCCGCGUGUAGUGAUGAAUUGUUCUCAGAAUCGUUAAAUGCUCUGAUGUAGGGAAGACAAGUACCGUUCGAAUAGGGCGGUACCUUUGACGGUACCUAACAGAAAGCCACGGCUAACUACGUGCCAGCAGCGCGGUAAUACGUAGGUGGCAAGCGUUGUCCGGAAUUAUUGGCGUAAAGGGCUCGCAGGCGGUUUCUUAAGUCUGAUGUGAAAGCCCCCGGCUCAACCGCGGAGGGUCAUUGGAAACUGGGGAACUUGAGUGCAGAAGAGGAGAGUGGAAUUCCACGUGUAGCGGUGAAAUGCGUAGAGAUGUGGAGGAACACCAGUGGCGAAGGCGACUCUCUGGUCUGUAACUGACGCUGAGGAGCGAAAGCGUGGGGAGCGAACAGGAUUAGAUACCCUGGUAGUCCACGCCGUAAACGAUGAGUGCUAAGUGUUAGGGGGUUUCCGCCCCUUAGUGCUGCAGCUAACGCAUUAAGCACUCCGCCUGGGGAGUACGGUCGCAAGACUGAAACUCAAAGGAAUUGACGGGGGCCCGCACAAGCGGUGGAGCAUGUGGUUUAAUUUGAAGCAACGCGAAGAACCUUACCAGGUCUUGACAUCCUCUGACAAUCCUAGAGAUAGGACGUCCCCUUCGGGGGCAGAGUGACAGGUGGUGCAUGGUUGUCGUCAGCUCGUGUCGUGAGAUGUUGGGUUAAGUCCCGCAACGAGCGCAACCCUUGAUCUUAGUUGCCAGCAUUCAGUUGGGCACUCUAAGGUGACUGCCGGUGACAAACCGGAGGAAGGUGGGGAUGACGUCAAAUCAUCAUGCCCCUUAUGACCUGGGCUACACACGUGCUACAAUGGACAGAACAAAGGGCAGCGAAACCGCGAGGUUAAGCCAAUCCCACAAAUCUGUUCUCAGUUCGGAUCGCAGUCUGCAACUCGACUGCGUGAAGCUGGAAUCGCUAGUAAUCGCGGAUCAGCAUGCCGCGGUGAAUACGUUCCCGGGCCUUGUACACACCGCCCGUCACACCACGAGAGUUUGUAACACCCGAAGUCGGUGAGGUAACCUUUUAGGAGCCAGCCGCCGAAGUGGAUCAG
rnacentral:rRNA from 1 species